rnacentral:rRNA from 1 species
UACGGGGGGGGCAAGCGUUGUUCGGAAUUACUGGGCGUAAAGGGCUCGUAGGCGGCCAACUAAGUCAGACGUGAAAUCCCUCGGCUUAACCGGGGAACUGCGUCUGAUACUGGAUGGCUUGAGUUUGGGAGAGGAAUGUGGAAUUCCAGGUGUAGCGGUGAAAUGCGUAGAUAUCUGGAGGAACACCGGUGGCGAAGGCGGCAUUCUGGACCGAAACUGACGCUGAUGCGCGAAAGCCAGGGGAGCAAACGGG